GUAAAUACAGUGGCCAGACUCUGAAAGAUUCCUCGGUUUCUUCCGACUCCUAUUUAUACCCAGUGAAAUCCAAUGACUAUAAAAUGACCUCUGCUGCUAUGAAUUGCCUCACUGAGAGAGGAAAGAGGAGAAGCUUGGGCAGAGAUACCGUGGCAAAGCGGGAGCUGGAAGUCCUGUCCUAGGAGCUCUAAUAAGGUUGCAGCUAGCAGCAAUGUCUCCUGAGCAACAGGUCUCUAAUCAGCUUUCUUUUAAAAGAAACCCGAGAUGCUGGGGCUGGUGGCUGCUCAGCUUGGGAGUAUGGGACACUACUGGGACGAGUACUGGGAGGGUGUGGUGAUUUGCUUGGAUUUGAGAAGAUAAACUGUUGGGGUUUCUCUUCUCUGUUUGGUUUGUAUGAGCCAAAAUAGUUUACAUUUUCUAAGAAUGAAGAUACAUGUAUAUAUUUAAUUUCCUAUCAUAGUAAUAGUUAUGAUAUAAAUAUGUUUAUUUUGUUCCUGGAGCCCAGAACUGUCUUGAUUGUGCAGAGGCUUUUCAGGGGAGAAGCUGGCUCUCCUGUGAGGUGAGCUCCUGCAGAGCAGCGCUGCAGUAGCCAGCCAGCUUUGAGCGCCUGGCAGCUGUGGGCACUUGAAAUUCUCACUUUAAAACUCUUUUUUUGUUUAGGAGCUCUCAGUAUUGCAGUUCAGACUUUUCCUUUUUCUGUCUGGAACUCCCUGAUUUCACUGAAAGCGCUCAGUUUGAACGAAGUUUUCUUUCUUCCUUGCGAAUAUUAGGUACAAGUCCUGCUGAGGUCGCUGACCACUUUUGACAGCUUUUGUGGCAAAUGGCUACUGAUGCUGAAGAAAAAUCUCCCUGAAGAAACAGGAGCUGAAGAAAAACCUAAUUCAGUGUGUACCUUAGAUGAAGAUCACAAAUAUCCUGUUACUAUGACAGACUGUGGUAAUUUAGGGUUCUUUCUUGAGCAGACCAAUGCCAGUCUUGAGGAGCUGUAACAGAUUCCCAAGGAGAAGGCUGUGGUUCUCACAGCUGUUUGAAGCACGCUGCUUCACUCCAGUUUUCUCCCUGUUCCCUUUUUCUGUUUCCAGGAUUGCUGCCUGCCCCAUCUGGCUUUGUGGCAUUGCUUGGUGUGCUUUCCUCUUGUUAGUGCCUCAACAAUAGUCACCAUUGUUUCAACUCAUUACUGUCCGCUUGAAUGCCUCAUGAAAAUCUCUGUCCUUCAGCAAAAGGGAGAGCUGCCUUCUCAGGGACCGGCUGACUGGUAUGAAGAAUGGCUGGGGAUCAGUAAAACUGCUUUUACUUCUCCUCCAGCAUGCUGAGUCAGCAUCCCAGCCCCGCUGACUGUCACUUGUACUUGGUGCUCUCUAGUGACAUUGCUUGACUACAGUGAAAACCACAAAAUACAUGGACUAAUAAGGGUGGAGUAAUUUGGGAUUAUUGCAAGUGUCCUCGUGCUUGCUCUCCCUGCUCAAUAGGAAGCCUUUAAUAAGAGUUUUCCUAAAUAGUGUUGCAUGCGAAAUGGGGAAUUCUGCUCCGUUCUUAUAACAAACAGCCAUUUCAUGAGAGAGUGGGGUUUUUUUCACCUCUUGGUACAUUCCAGAAGACUUUAUACCUUUGCUGGUUACUGAUUGAUAGUUCAGUGCUGAGCUCCCUUUAAUUUUGCAAUAAACUAACAAGGAGGCAGAGACCACAAGUUUACAGAAAAUGACUUAUUUACUCAACUGGAUUUACAAGGAUGACAAAGUCAGAUUUAGUAGUUUCAGUGUGGUCCUAGGAAGGGCAGGAGGAGUACUUGAAAAAUUGUACUGUAUAAAUAACCAAACAAAAAAUAGUUUGCUUAUUAUUCUGUGUAAAGCAGUCAUAUUUCAGUUUUUAGGCCAACUCUCUCCCAGGACCUGGAGGGGCUUUCCACAUAUGCAGGAACUGUGCUAUUCCCAACGAAUGGAGGUGCUGGGAGUUUAGGCACCUUAAAUAAGUAUUUUUACUUUUCUAAUGUGCUUCCAGAAAACUGGUAUCUGCUGAAGUCACAUCAGUGGAAGGAGAUUCUUUUUUCACAACAACAUGUAAAGAUUUCAAGAGAAUAUAAACAGUGGUGUUCUGGAUUAAUCUUAGAAGUAACAAUGACCUGUCUAGAACAUAAAUGCUCUUUUCCUUGAGUUUCCAUUUUGUUCCAGGUAUCAGCACCUACAAAAAUUGGGGAAGUGAUCAGGAGAGCAGGCAUUUCUUUUAAGGUGUCUAAAAUUAGGAACUUGAAAAUGUCUUCCCACUGUCUCAUUGUGUUUAUCUCCAGGUUUUCUAACCGUAAGGAAGAAGAUUUUUCUUACUGUUGUAACACUUCUAAUGGUUAGAAUGGGUUAUUUUACAAUCUAAAGUUGCUAUGCUGAAGUAAAAAUCUUCACAAGAUUGGGAAAUUGUGUGGUCAGUCAAUUGUGUGGUAUUUUAAGUAAUAGACUUUUUCCCAGAAAUUAUUUUGAAAUUUGAAUCUUGAGUGAAUUUCUACAGUGUUUGUAAUUGUCAGAAUUGGAAGGCUGAGGACUGUAGAUUUUCACUUGUUAAAUAGCUAACUUAACCAGUUGCAAGUGAGUAAGCUGAAAGGUUCAUUGAACUCCAUAGGAGACUGCAUGGGGUAAGUUUCUAGCAUUACUGAGCUGUCUAGCUGACCUUUUCAUCUUCUUUUUUUCUCUUCUUUUAGCAGUGGAGGAUGUUUUCUAUUCAUGCACAGUCACUGGCUGAAGAAGCCCUGCACUCUUUGUUCAUAACCAAGUAGAAACAGAAAGCAGUAACACAACCUCCUUACCUGUUGCACAUGUCAAGAUGCAGUUGUGUGUGAAGAGGUGUAAUGUUUUUGUAACUCUUAGUGCCUUAGUGGUAAUGAAAGUAGCUCUGGUAACAAAAAUAUUUUGUUGAUGCUUGAAACAGGAGCUCAUCUUUAAAAUACUGGGUAUUUUAUAAAAUACUAUGUAUUGUAAUAUGUUAACAUUAAAUAUCACAUAGCGACA